rnacentral:rRNA from 1 species
CUGCGGAGGGAUCAUUACAGAGUUACUAAACUCCCAAACCCAUGUGAACUUACCUAUGUUGCCUCGGCGGUUACCUACCCUGUAGCUACCCUGUAGUUACCCGGUAGCGGCCGCCGGUGGACCUCCAAACUCUUGUUUUAAUAUGGUUAUUCUGAGUUAUUACUAUAAUAAGUCAAAACUUUCAACAACGGAUCUCUUGGUUCUGGCAUCGAUGAAGAACGCAGCGAAAUGCGAUAAGUAAUGUGAAUUGCAGAAUUCAGUGAAUCAUCGAAUCUUUGAACGCACAUUGCGCCCAUUAGUAUUCUAGUGGGCAUGCCUGUUCGAGCGUCAUUACGACCCUUAAGCCUCGGUUGCUUGGCGUUGGGGGCUCGCCGUAACUGGCGACCCCUUAAAGACAUUGGCGGAGUCGAGAUGGAACUCUGAGCGUAGUAAAUCUUUUCUCGCUUUCUGAAGUCCUCACGACCUCGGCCGUAAA